ACGGAUGAUUUCUUCGGAAUGAAACCUGAUAUGACUUAGUGGCGGACGGGUGAGUAACACGUGAGCAACCUGCCUUUCAGAGGGGGAUAACGGCUGGAAACGGUCGCUAAUACCGCAUAAGCCCACGGUACCGCAUGGUACUGAGGGAAAAGGAUUUAUUCGCUCUAGGAUGGACUCGCGUCCAAUUAGCUAGUUGGUGAGGUAACGGCCCACCAAGGCGACGAUUGGUAGCCGGACUGAGAGGUUGAACGGCCACAUUGGAACUGAGACACGGUCCAAACUCC
rnacentral:rRNA from 1 species